ACGAAGGGUGCAAGCGUUACUCGGAAUUACUGGGCGUAAAGCGUGCGUCGGUGGUUUGUUAAGUCUGAUGUGAAAGCCCUGGGCUCAACCUGGGAAUGGCAUUGGAUACUGGCAGGCUAGAGUGCGGUAGAGGGUAGUGGAAUUCCCGGUGUAGCAGUGAAAUGCGUAGAGAUCGGGAGGAACAUCUGUGGCGAAGGCGACUACCUGGACCAGCACUGACACUGAGGCACGAAAGCGUGGGGAGCAAACAGGAUUAGAUACCCUGGUAGUCCACGCCCUAAACGAUGCGAACUGGAUGUUGGGCUCAACUUGGAGCUCAGUAUCGAAGCUAACGCGUUAAGUUCGCCGCCUGGGGAGUACGGUCGCAAGACUG
rnacentral:rRNA from 1 species